ACGGGUGCGUAACACGUGGGUAAUCUGCCCUUCGAUGGGGAAUAACUCCGGGAAACCGAAGCUAAUUCCGCAUAACAUUCCUUGAACUUCGGUUUGGGGAUUCAAAGCCGUAAGGCGUCGGAGGAGGAACCCGCGCACGAUUAGCUAGUUGGUAGGGUAACGGCCUACCAAGGCUUUGAUCGUUAGCUGGUCUGAGAGGAUGGCCAGCCACACUGGAACUGAGACACGGUCCAGACUCCUACGGGAGGCAGCAGUGGGGAAUCUUGCACAAUGGGCGAAAGCCUGAUGCAGCGACGCCGCGUGGGGGAUGAAGCUUUUCGGAGUGUAAACCCCUUUCGACCCGGACGAAUGUCCCGCAAGGGAACUGACGGUACGGGUAUAAGAAGCCCCGGCUAACUACGUGCCAGCAGCCGCGG
rnacentral:rRNA from 1 species